UCAAACCCUCACCUAGAAACCAUUAUUGCCGAACCCAAAUGCUCACCCCAUCUUCAUCCAAAUCUCACCAAAAUUCACUAAAUUUGAAGGCAAAUCAUCCAUUAGUCAAAGAUCCGGCAAGGAACGCAGCUAAUGGACAAGGAGCACCUUUAACUAGACGGCAGUUAAUCGAUCGAGGUUUUAGGAGUAGCAAGCGUCUUUCCUUUCAGGUAAAAUGUUUUGACGUGACGGACUUCUAUCCUUGUUCAGAAGUCCGUAUUUUGGAAGUAUGUAAAUAAGAAGACGUCGAUCGAUAGUGCUGCAGUAGAUGUCACGUCCUAGUUAUGAAUAUGGCUUUGUUGAACGGUUUUAAUGUUUUAUCCAACUCUGAUAUGUAAAUAAAGUUUUAAACUGCGCUUUUAACCGUUUACUAUAUUUUGCAAACCGGGCUAUGCUUGAUGUGUGACAUCGCAUAAUAAGACCCUGGCUUAUCGAACAUCGCUUCGGACGAUGUUACAAGUAUUGUAAAUAUUUCAAGUUUAUAAAAAUGUUUAUGAUGGUU